UAAGAUAUUCGACUUUUUCGAAGAACAUUGAGAGGACUUCUUCGAGUUAUUAUUUAGCACAAUUGCCAUUUGAUCCAAAAACAGAAAAGAUCUUGCACUUUCACAAGUAGUUUUUUUAUAUCUUCUCUCUAUUCGCAUCAUACAAGUUUGAACAGUAUGUAAUGGAUUAUUUGUUCCAAAUAAAUUCAGAUUACUAUUUUAAAAAUUCUACGUUUGCAAACAUAGUGGGGCUGUGACUCAUGCAAAAGAAAAUCACCUGAUUGUUCCAUUGCAUUGAUUGUAAAACAUAAGGAAUUGGUGGCAACAUGCAGGUGAUAAAAUGCAAUAUCGGAUGAAAAAGAUGCAAAAAGAAGAAAGAAACACUGAAAAUCAGCAUUAAUAUUAGAUAGCUUAAAUAUUAAGCUUCUUGCAUAAUGUCAGGCAACAGACAGAAGAAA